UACGUAGGGGGCAAGCGUUGUCCGGAAUCAUUGGGCGUAAAGAGCGUGUAGGCGGUCCGGUAAGUCGGCUGUGAAAGUCCAGGGCUCAACCCUGGGAUGCCGGUCGAUACUGCCGGACUAGAGUUCGGAAGAGGCGAGUGGAAUUCCCGGUGUAGCGGUGAAAUGCGUAGAGAUCGGGAGGAACACCUGUGGCGAAGGCGGCCGACUGGGCCGACCCUGACGCUGAGGCGCGAAGGCGUGGGGAGCGAACGGG
rnacentral:rRNA from 1 species